AGAGUCCUGAAGUGUUAGUCGAACGCUGAUAUGUUUUGACCGAACAUAUACUUUUUGGGAGUCCGUUGUUUUCACUCGUCACGCAUGCCCGCGCCGGGACCCGUAUACUGUGGAACAGGGCACCCACCUGCUCACGAGCGGGUUUCAAAGCUGCGGCUUCACAACGGCACGUUCGGGAUUUCU
rnacentral:other from 1 species